UACCAAACCUUCAUCUUUCAGAGGGACAAAGAUCUUAAACUUUUGUUUGUAAUAUAUUUCAGUCAACAGGCUGAUCUCUUUUGUUCUCUUCGGCGAUUUUCUAUUCGCAUAGGCGAUUCUCUUGUUCGCGUUGGCGAUUUUGAAGUAUAAAGUUCAACAAGUUGAGAACUUGAUUCUCACUCUCAUCUUUCUCUGACAUGUUGAACAUAAAUAAAACUAUGGUUGAGUUCUUCUCCUUCUGUGUUAAGUGUUAAACCGUUCGAUUGGAAAGUUAAAUUUCCUCUUUGUUAGAUAAGCUUGGAUCUUGAUUCAGAGGUGGUAUCAAGCUUCACUCGUGUCAGCUGUAGUCUCCACGAAGGUCAAGAAACAAAGUUUGGAUCAAGCUUCGGAGAUUCAGGACAUAUUCUAGAUGAGUUGGAGCUGCCAUAAGGGUUAGCGUUCCGACAAGUUUCUAUCCUUUUCUUCUAAAGCUCUUCCCUGUGAUAAAAUCUAACAAUUGGAGAAGAAGAUCUUGCGAUUG
rnacentral:lncRNA from 1 species